rnacentral:misc_RNA from 1 species
GAUGAAGAACGCAGCGAAAUGCGAUACGUAAUGUGAAUUGCAGAAUUCAGUGAAUCAUCGAAUCUUUGAACGCAUAUUGCGCUCUCUGGUAUUCCGGAGAGCAUGCUUGUUUGAGUAUCAGUAAACACCUCAACUCCCUUUUCUUUUUUGAAAUUGGAGCUGGACUUGAGUGAUCCCAACGCUUUCUUCCAAGAAAGUGGCGGGUUGCUUGAAAUGCAGGUGCAGCUGAACUUUUCUCUGAGCUAUAAGCAUAUCUAUUUAGUCUGCCUAAAAAACAGAUUAUUACCUUUGCUGCAGCUAACAUGAAGGAGACUAGUUCUUGUGCUGACUGAUGCAGGAUUCACAGAGACAGCUUCGGCUGACUUUGUAAACUCGAUCUCAAAUCAAGUAAGACUACCCGCUGAACUUAAGCAUAUCAAUAAGCGGAGGA